rnacentral:rRNA from 1 species
AACGAACGCUGGCGGCAGGCCUAACACAUGCAAGUCGAACGCCGUAGCAAUACGGAGUGGCAGACGGGUGAGUAACACGUGGGAACGUACCCUUCGGUUCGGAACAACCCAGGGAAACUUGGGCUAAUACCGGAUAAGCCCUUACGGGGAAAGAUUUAUCGCCGAAAGAUCGGCCCGCGUCUGAUUAGCUAGUUGGUGAGGUAACGGCUCACCAAGGCGACGAUCAGUAGCUGGUCUGAGAGGAUGAUCAGCCACAUUGGGACUGAGACACGGCCCAAACUCCUACGGGAGGCAGCAGUGGGGAAUAUUGGACAAUGGGCGCAAGCCUGAUCCAGCCAUGCCGCGUGAGUGAUGAAGGCCCUAGGGUUGUAAAGCUCUUUUGUGCGGGAAGAUAAUGACGGUACCGCAAGAAUAAGCCCCGGCUAACUUCGUGCCAGCCGCCGCCGU